UGUGAAAUGCGAUGGGGGGACGGAUCGCGGAAGGUUGUCCGGGUGUUGGAAGUCCCGGUCCUUGCAUUGGAGAAGGCGCUUUGGCAAAUCCGGGCGCGCAAUUCAAGGGUGCGAGGCGAGCCACUUCGGUGGCGAAGCAACUGGAAGGGGUUCCAGGAAAAGCCUCUAAGCUUCAGUUUCACAGUGACCGUACCGCAAACCGACACAGGUGGGCGAGAUGAGUAUU
rnacentral:rRNA from 1 species